GAUAACCAGGCCUGGGCUUCCUGGUGUGGCUUGCUCCCAUCCUGGGGCAUGCCUAUGUCGCUCUAGGGAGGCACAGGAGAGUUUGGAAAGCAGGUCUCCUGUCAUGUACUUGUUAGAGUUAGCAGAGAUGCUAAGUCAUUGGUGCCCUUCUUUAAGAAAAGAAUAAGAAAGAAGACACAGGCUAGAAGGAAGGAGAGCCUGUAGCCUGAUCUUACUCUCUCAGUCAACACCUGAGCAUUAAGUGACCAGCUGGAGGUUGUCAGCUGGCUAGUGGCAGAGUCCCAACCCCCAGCUCCCAGAAGUGGACUCUGUACCCCCAACCCACUGUGGGUUGAGAGGCUCCCAGCCCGGUGCCCGCCAGGCCACUCCCUAUAUGUGGAAUGGCCUUGGUUCCCUCCAGCAGACAAGUCCCUCAUCCCUGUUUUACGGGCCUUUCACCGUGUCCCUCCAGACCAGACACAGCCAGCCUCUGCCCACGUGCUCUCUCCUCCUUCCUGUGGGUCCCACCUGGCAGCAACGCAGGAAGGUCCAGGAUUGGCUGGUUUCCAUUUCAUAGCAGCCUCUCCCCACCUACCAUACCAACUUCUCCCAGGAAGAAAUGGGGCACAGUACAGUCACAGAAAUAAGAGGCCACAUGCGAGCGAGGGUUUGCAGCAAUGGAAGAAACGCACCAGAAGAAGAUUGAAGAUCUCCAGAGGCAGCACCAGCGGGAGCUAGAGAAACUUCGAGAAGAGAAAGACCGCCUCCUAGCCGA
rnacentral:sRNA from 1 species